UACGAAGGGGGCUAGCGUUGUUCGGAUUUACUGGGCGUAAAGCGUGCGCAGGCGGUUCGUUGUGUCGGUGGUGAAAUCCCCGGGCUUAACCUGGGAAUGGCCAUGGAAACUGGCGAACUGGAGUGCGGCAGAGGGGGGUGGAAUUCCGCGUGUAGCAGUGAAAUGCGUAGAGAUGCGGAGGAACAUCGAUGGCGAAGGCAGCCCCCUGGGCUAGCACUGACGCUCAGGCACGAAAGCGUGGGGAGCAAACAGG
rnacentral:rRNA from 1 species